rnacentral:lncRNA from 1 species
UCCAGCACCUUCUGUGCAGGCACCAGCAGAGGAGCCAGCAGGCCUGUGAGGAUGGGUUGUGCAGAGCAGAACGCAGAGCCAGUUCUGGGAAAGAGCUGGGUGGCAGUGCUUUUAUCAAUGGAGACCAGGCCCUGCCAACCGGAAGGCACUGCUGACGUAAAGGCAGGGUCUCGGGCCUUGGGAAUCCAGCCAGGGUGCCCUCUUCAGGCUGCUAUAGAGGAAAGGCCUUUAAAAUGGGGCUCUGAAAGAUCACAUCCAACAGGAGAGGCAAGGGCUGCCCAGCACCUUGAGGAUGCUGGGCUGGACCACCUGUGAG